UUUUUUUCACUGAAGAAGAACAAGGAAAUCCAGAAAAAGCUCAUUCCUAAUCAUUCCUAAAAAAACCAGGAUAUUUUUUGUUUCGGAUUAUCGGGCCUUUAUCUCAUUGAACAGAUCCAAUUCCGAAUCCAUUUAUUUGAUUAGUAUUCAAUCGUACUGAAAUAUGGAAUAUCAUAAUAGUAAUAUCAGAAUACUAAUAGCAAUAGAAUCAUUUUUUGUUUUUCGAUUCUCCCCAAAGCCCCAUAAGUCUAAGUUUAGUUCAGUUGUAUCGG
rnacentral:lncRNA from 1 species